UAAAUAUUGUAAGGCGUUAAAGUACACUGGUAAAUCUACUGGAUUAUGUUGCGCUGAAGGCAAAGUAAAAUUGCCACAAUUGGUCCCACCACCAGAUCCUUUACGCUCCUUAGUUUCUGGGAUUGGAAAUGAUUCGAAGCACUUCUUGACCAACAUUCAGAAAUAUAACAACUGUGUUCAGAUGCCAUCAUUUGGUGCUACACAUAUUAUACAAGCCAAUUUCAUGCCCACUUUUAAGAUACAAGGACAAUUUUAUCACUUACUGGGAACUCUGAUACCACUACCUGAUGCAGAUCAUCAAUUUUUACAAAUUUAUUUUAUGGGCAAUUCAGAUGCGGAAAUUAAUAUUCGUUGUGCUCACAAACCAACAGUAAAGAGAACCAUUGUCCAACAAUUACAAAUGUUUCUUCAUCAGAAUAACAAUUUAGUAAACAUGAUCAAAAUAGCAUUGGAUCGGAUGCCAUCUGAUAGCCAUAAUACUGGAAGACUGGCUGUGAAAAGACUGAUGAAUAACGUCAUUGAGACAACAAUCAUAAAAGGAAAAUACAAAGGAGAGGAUGUCUUGAUCCCGCGGAUACCAAUGAUUCCAACGGACACACCAUUCGAUUUUAAACGCUUACAAUUUCCAGUACGUCUGGAUUUUGCGAUGACUAUAAAUAAAUCGGAAGGACAAUCGUUAGAAGUUUGUGGAAUCAACUUGGAGUUUCCCUAUUUCGCGUAUGGACAAUUAGACGUCGCGUGUUCGGGCGUCGGAAAACCGUCUUCUUUGUUUAUUUACGCACCACAAAAU